UUUACACCUCAAGUGAUAAAAGACUUCCUGACCAAAUUCGAUCGAAGCACAACAAAUACAAUCGCCACUAUCCACAAGCUACACCAACUGCCAAAGUUAUCUUACUGCCAAUGCGAGUAACGCUGAGCAAUACUUUUUAAAACUAUUAUACCAAGUGGAAAAUUCGGCAUCCUUCAAAUUAAAAAAUUCACCAGAAGAUAGAAAUUUGUUUUAUCCGUAAUUCAGUAUAACACAUAGUAAUGGCGUUGCUGAGCGAGGACUCAAAAGCAACAUUAAUUAUCGGAGGUGUUCUUAUUAUACUAAUAGCCUUAUCAAUGUUUAUUGUAUAUUGCGAUAAAAAAGGAUACUUCAACUAAUUGUUUACGGAAAGCUAGUAGUCAUCGUAUACCAUCAAAAACGAAGAAAGGUUUACUUUAUCGUUAAAAACAUGAAUUUAAUGGCGGAAACUGGUGUUAAUUUAGUAUUAAUCUAUUUAUUUAUA